rnacentral:lncRNA from 10 species
UCAGUGUUUCAAGGGAACCAUUUUUUUCUAGGAUUCACCAUCUAUUACUAUAAUUUCAUGAGUUCCUUAUAUGGAGUCUAAUCAUUUAUGCAUUCAAAACAUAUUUAUUGAGGUCUUAUAAUGUGCCAGAUACCAGAGGUGGAUUCAGGUUCUGUGGAGCCUGAAACUUACUACAAAUUUGUGGGCCAUCUUUGAAAAAAGAAGAAAGGUUGGUCUGAUGGGAGUGGAUUAUCAGAAUUUAUUAACAUUAAUGUUACUAAAAUUGGUUUAUAGCCCCCCACUGCUAAAUUUGACUGGCUUUUAAAAAACAGAAAAACAAAAAUAAGGAAGGGAAGGGAGAAAAAAAAAGAGGGGAAGGGGGGGAGGGGCAAGAGAGGACUAUGAAAACAAUGACAAUGACAGUGGUAGCAGUUUUGAUAAAAGUACAAAUUCAAAAUUAGGUACAGACUUCUGCUUCUAGGAAGAUGUAAUAGAAAUACAUUUCCCCAUUCCUUCUACUAAGUACAACUAAAAACCCUAGUUACUAUCUAUAAAAC